UACGUAGGGCGCGAGCGUUGUCCGGAAUUACUGGGCGUAAAGGGCUCGUAGGCGGCCAACUAAGUCAUACGUGAAAUCCCUCGGCUUAACCGGGGAACUGCGUCUGAUACUGGAUGGCUUGAGUUCGGGAGAGGGAUGCGGAAUUCCAGGUGUAGCGGUGAAAUGCGUAGAUAUCUGGAGGAACACCGGUGGCGAAGGCGGCAUCCUGGGCCGAUACUGACGCUGAGGAGCGAAAGCCAGGGGAGCAAACGGG
rnacentral:rRNA from 1 species